GACGAACGCUGGCGGCGUGCCUAAUACAUGCAAGUUGAGCGAUGAAGCUUGGUGCUUGCACCAAUUUGAAGAGCAGCGAACGGGUGAGUAACGCGUGGGGAAUCUGCCUUUGAGCGGGGGACAACAUUUGGAAACGAAUGCUAAUACCGCAUAACAACUUUAAACAUAAGUUUUAAGUUUGAAAGAUGCAAUUGCAUCACUCAAAGAUGAUCCCGCGUUGUAUUAGCUAGUUGGUGAGGUAAAGGCUCACCAAGGCGAUGAUACAUAGCCGACCUGAGAGGGUGGUCGGCCACAUUGGGAAUGAGACACGGCCCAAACUCCUACGGGAGGCAGCAGUAGGGAAUCUUCGGCAAUGGACGAAGGUCUGACCGAGCAACGCCGCGGGAGUGAAGAAGGUUUUCGGAUCGUAAAACUCUGUUGGUAGAGAAGAACGUUGGUGAGAGUGGAAAGCUCAUCAAGUGACGGUAACUACCCAGAAAGGGACGGCUAACUACGUG
rnacentral:rRNA from 1 species